rnacentral:lncRNA from 1 species
AUUUGGUUUCCUAAAGAGAAAAAAUCAUCUGUGUAAACACUGUAUAGUGUGAUGUGUUCCUCAUACUGUUUUCGUUCCUCUAAUUGCAGGUGGAUGCAGAAGGGAACAAAAAGGUCCCACCCCUUUUAUUUUAUAAAGAUUUACUUUCAUAGGCCUACUGUGACCAAAGAAGAAGAUUUGGUUGUGGAGAACCUGGAAGAUGAUUCGAGUCAGAUGGUGGAAGACUCUCCAGAUCCGAACAGCACUCAGAUAGGACUCAACGGGAGAGGGUUCCAGAAGAGGACACUCUGGCCAUAUCUCAGGCCUAGGUGCUCCAGAGGUCCUCAUCGAAAGUGAGCCAGACAGGCCUUUGCUGUCCAGCUGCAGCUUUGGUGGUUUCUCAGAGGAAGAGCCAGCAUAAAAGGAUGCACAUGUAACCAUCAGACAGAAACACACUCAGAGGAACAGCUCAGCUGCACUUGACAGUUGCAGGCCUCAGAAAGAAGCUUCACAUAUUCUAACCAGGAGACCAGGACUGGGGACCCCUGCAGACAAGACAAAGUGACUCUCUGAGACUGCCACCACCCCUGAAGUGGGUUUAGAAUCACUGCUGAAGACCAGCCUCUGAGGACGAAGCAGCACUCCAGGGCACGCCCAGUGCAUUUCUGUGUGACACCAAGGCCAUCUUCAACGACAGCACUAGACGGCCUCCCAGUUCUUUCCCUCUGCUUGCAGCAAGAUCUGGUCCUCCUCCAGCUGUGCCUCCAAACCCAGCAGGAAUACACAGCAGGACAGAUGCAGGAAGACUUAGGACUGCCAGAACCCAGUGACCACCCUGGAUUCCAACUAAGGGACAGCCCUGUGCAUCCUCUAUCUCAGACGGUACAAGCUUGUGUCAGAGCCCCUUUCAGUCACAUCUUCACAAUCACUGUCCCCACCUCCCUGGCUGACUGACACCUGCUCAAUCUCAUGAAUCAUGCAGGGCUAACCUGCUGGGUCCCCAAACUGGUACCCCUGCCCCCUCCAUCUCACCAGGCAGGGAGUCUGCAUGGGAAGUCCAUCUCCUGACUGGCCAGCUCCAGAAGCAUCUGAGUCCCU